UGCCUAUUUAAUCGUACCUACUGCCCCAUCUAUUUUCAUCUCCCUUUUCGUUACUCAUUUUCGCAUUCGAGUAGCAGCUUAGGGUUAAUCGUGUUCUCUGAUUUCGGUUGGGAAUGUUUCUGGAAGUUCAGCCUUUAUGGAAUUCAUUUUCUGUGCUUUGAUGUUUUGUGAUUCCUCUUCUUAUUUUUGUUUUCUAUGAUGAAGUUUUAGGUUUUGUUUGUGUGCAGUGACGAGGCAAUUUUGUGGACUAGAGUUUCUGAUCUGGGUAGUUACUCAGAAGUUGAUUAUCAAACCCUUGGCUGUCUGAGCACAUCAAAGUUUCGAAAAUUAAGUAUUUUUUGAACAUUUUUCAUGUCUCAAAAAUAAUUGUGUUGAAUCUCACCCUUUUUCAUAUAUAAUUGAAUUUGCUUUAGAAAACAAUUUGGCUUAUGAUGAUAAUUUAAUUAUCUUAGCGGAUUUCAGUGAGAUUUUUAUCAAUGAUCUGAUUGUUACACACACUGAAGCCAUUGUUUGAUUGCUUUUAAUAUUUUGUUUAAAAAUUUGUACAUUUGGUCAUUGGUUGUAGUUCUAAUUUGAUGUAUUUGUUCUUAAUUAUGCUACUUUUAUCACCUGAAUUGAUGGGUUUCAUUACAUAGGAAAUGCAUGAUAGUGAGUACUAAUUUUAUGUUAAUGGUGCUAUGAUGAGAUGAAACACUUUGUGGUGUUUUUAGGCAGUGGACGUAACCAAAAGGUUUCGCCGUGAGCCUUCAAUUUAACGACUUCUCCUUCCACUGAGUACCAUAAUUAGAGAUUAUAAUUAGGAACAGCAUUUGAAUAAAUGCAUAUUCUUUGGUAUAAGUUAAACAAUUAGGAUCAUUGUUUUUAAUUGCGUCCAUUACCAAUUCCGGGGGAUAUGUGGUUCCUCCUGGUAUAAUGGCUCGGACGCCAGAUUAAUGACGUGGUCAUCCUGAUUGAUGGUUUCAUCAUCGUGCCAUUUGGUCUUGGAAACGCCACCAAAACUUUUUUUACUUCAAAUUUGAAGAAUACUAAUUUUAUUAUGAUUGCAGUUGAUUAUAUAGGUAGAGAUAUGUUGUAGUGUUUAUAGUUAUAUGAUUAUGAUUGCAGUUGGUUAUACUUCGAAUCAUAAGUACGUGCAAAUUAUGUGUUUUUGAAAUUAGCAUUGGAUUUUGUGAUUUGAAUCGCGUGCUAUGACGAGGCAAUUUUGUGGACUAGAGUUUCUGAUCUGGGAAUAUACUCAGAAGUUGAUUAUUAAACCCUUGGCUGUCUGAGCAUACCAAAUUUUUCGAUUCAACUAAAAUUACUACAAAAUUCACUGGAAACUUUUUUAUUUCUUAAUUGAUUAUAUUUUUUAAUUCAUAUUUUGAUUAGAUUUCUGUAGAUUGAGGCUUUUAUUUGGCUUAUGAUGAUAAUUUUAAUAUCUUAGCGGAUUUCAGUGAGAUUUCUAUCAAUGAUCUGAUUGUUACACACACUGAGGCCAUGAAUUUUAUGCUGUGGAGUCUUAUUUUCUCAUUUUUAUUGUUUGGUUAUUAUUUUUUAACAAUUUUAUGAUCUGAUUGUUACACACACUGUGAGGACAUGCUGUGGAGCGGUGAAAAGACAGAAUGUAUUCCUAUGGAUUCUAAGGGAGAACGAAGGACGGAGUGGAGGAUGGAGGCGGAUCGGUUGGAACGCGGGCUAGCCGGCCGAUGACCCAAUCCAACAACAGCAACAACUGAGCUAUUUGUCCUCGCCACGUUUAAUAAUCCGGCGAACAUGAACCUGAGUGGACCAAAUCACGUAAAACUUAUAAACUCAAUAUGCAUAAACUUUUGACACAGCAAAUGGUCAGUUGAACGUGCAGUCACCGUCGAUGCUACCCUUUGUAGUACUACAAAUCAUUUGCAGAAGAUAUCAAUACCAGAACCAUAUCCAAGACACCCUCCAUCAAGAACCUUGUGCUAAAUGGUAACUUAAUGGUGUGACAAAUGUUAACUGAAGCAUUAUCUAAAGAGUAUGGGAAGCAGGUGACAUGUAAUAGAAGCAAUAAAUGAAAUAGAAAAUUGAUAUUAAGUGCAAUGCGACUUACCGAUCCCAUUCGUGCACAAGAGUCUCCAUUAAAAUUGGAAACUCCUUAUUCAUUUGCUGCAUAAUCAGAGUUAGCACGCCACUGUCUUCUAUUUCCUUCAGCUGAAGAAAGCAGACCCAAAUUAGCAUAUAGAGAAGAACUUCAUAGCACAAACACUAUUCAGACUUAUCACUAGUACAUGAGGAUUAUGAAAUUUACCAUUUUGUCAAAAUAACCAGAGAUGGGAGAAUGUUGUCCAAAAGAAAGAGAAAAGUAUAACAAUUUUGGUAUAUACCAAAGUGGCAUCUUACUCCAGGUUCUACUUUAUGUAAUCUGUCUCGAUCCAAAUCAUAACCCAUCAAUAUAAAGGGCUCUUCAUGCCAAUUAAACAA